rnacentral:rRNA from 1 species
GGUGAACGUUGGCGGCGUGGAUUAGGCAUGCAAGUCGCGCGGAAAGGCCCCGCAAGGGGUACUCGAGCGGCGAAAGGGAUAGUAACACGUGGGUUACCUACCCUCGGGACUGGGAUAGCUGCGGGAAACUGCAGGUAAUACCGGAUAACGUCUUCGGACCAAAGGUGUGAUUCCGCCUGAGGAGGGCCCGCGUCCUAUUAGCUAGUUGGCAGGGUAAUGGCCUACCAAGGCUAAGAUGGGUAGGGGGUGUGAGAGCAUGACCCCCAUCACUGGGACUGAGACACUGCCCAGACACCUACGGGUGGCUGCAGUCGAGAAUCUUCGGCAAUGGGCGAAAGCCUGACCGAGCGACGCCGCGUGCGGGAUGAAGGCCCUCGGGUUGUAAACCGCUGUCAGAGGAUUGGAAGUGCUGGGGGGUUUUCCCUUCAGUUUGACUGUACCUCAGAGGAAGUACGGGCUAAGUUCGUGCCAGCAGCCGCUGUAACAC